rnacentral:pre_miRNA from 1 species
AAAGUACUUCCUUCGUUUCAAAUUACUUGUCGCAGGAAUGUAUAUAUCUAAAUGUAUUUUAGUUUUAAAUACAUUUAUUUUUAUUUAUUUUGAUGACAAGUAAUUUCGGACGGAAGGAGUAUAUC